rnacentral:rRNA from 1 species
GGGUUGUGAGGUUAAGCGACUAAGCGUACACGGUGGAUGCCCUGGCAGUCAGAGGCGAUGAAGGACGUGCUAAUCUGCGAUAAGCGUCGGUAAGGUGAUAUGAACCGUUAUAACCGGCGAUUUCCGAAUGGGGAAACCCAGUGUGAUUCGUCACACUAUCAUUACG